rnacentral:rRNA from 1 species
UACAGAGGUCCCAAGCGUUGUUCGGAUUUAUUGGGCGUAAAGGGUGCGUAGGCGGCGGAGUAAGUUGGGUGUGAAAUCCCGGGGCUCAACCUCGGAAUUGCAUUCAAUACUGCUUCGCUUGAGUACUGGAGAGGAGACUGGAAUUUACGGUGUAGCAGUGAAAUGCGUAGAUAUCGUAAGGAAGGCCGGUGGCGAAAGCGAGUCUCUGGACAGUUACUGACGCUGAUGCACGAAGGCCAGGGGAGCAAACGGG